rnacentral:piRNA from 1 species
UGAAAGGAGGAGGUCAGCAUCAGGGU